CCCUCCCCUGCCACAGCGGGGGGGCCCCCACCUGCCAGGGCAGGAGCGCCUGCGUGGGGCCCCGGAGCCCAGCGGCUGCAGCCAAGGGGCAGGCAGGCAGGGCACCCAGAGUCACCGGAUUUAGGGAAUCAAACUACAGGACACCCAGCGAGAUUUGAAUUUCAGAAAAGCACCUAAUAAUCCUUUUGUGUCCUUGUAUCUCAUGCGACCUUGGGGGGCAGACUUAACCUAAAAGAAUAUUCCUGCAUCUAAAUUCCAAUCUCGCGGGGCACCCGGUGGCAGUUGGAAGGCAGCAGAGGCCGGGGAUCAUGCGGUAACCGCUGAUGAUGGGAACAGAAGCUUCAGCAAGACGCACGCUGUCUUUUUUUCAAGAUCCAGAAGACCUGAGCUUUUUGCUUUUGCCCUUGACGCAGUGGACCAGCUCCUGCUGAGAUGCAGCCCCGCCGUCCAGGCCCAGAGGAGUCUGGCAGCAAGAAGCGGGCCGUCUCCCCGCCUUUCAGCCUCCUUCGUCUUCCCUUGUUCUUGGAUCCUUAAGAAACCCGGUACAUCCAAGCAGCGGUAUCCAGGCCGCCCCUGCUCACUACACCACGCCCUUGCCACACCCCCGCCACGGCUCCCGGCCUGUUACAACAAACCACCAAGCUCAGCAUCCAAGUUGUCUCCAGAGAGAAACAGCAGAAUCGGUAGAGGGAAAACUCAGCAGGUGUAUUAUUAGUCUCCUCGGGCUGCUAGAGCAAAAUGCCCCACACCGGGGGCCUGUGACAACACAAAUAUAACAGCUCACUCUCUGGAGGCUAAAAGUCUGAACCCAGGCGUGGGGAGGAUGGUUCCUUCCGGGAGCCGCGAGGGAGGAAUCUGUCCUGUGCCUCUUUCCUAGCAGCUGGGGCCUGGCUGGCGAUCUCUGGCAUUCCUUGGCGCCUACUGCAGCACACCACCCUCUGCCUUCCUCUUCACGUGGUGCUCUCCCCAUGUGUUCGUCUAGUUUCAAAUAUCUAUCUAUCUAUCUGUCUAUCUAUUUAUUUAUUUAUUUAUUUGACAGAGAGAAAGCAUGAGCAGGAGGGGCAGAGGGAGAGAGAGAGAGACUCUCAAGCAGAUUCCACACAGAGCGCAGAGCCCAACACCAGGCUCGAUCCCAUAACCCCAAGACUAUGACCCAAGCCAAAACCGAGAGUUGGAUGCCCAACUGACUGUGCCACCCAGGCACCCCAAGGACACUGACCUCUUUUAAAUGACUCAUAAAUGUAGCUCAUUAAGGGCCAUAGAAAGACCAACAGAAGAGAUUAAAUGCCGUCAGUACUAGCUCUGGUCCUGCCAGGGACUUGCUCUCAGCACGUGGUUAGUUGUUUUUUUUGUUUUUAUUUUUGCUUUUCUGUACAUAUUUUCCUGGUCAUAAAACAGAUUUUGCCUCUACUCUCAGGAUCCUCAAAAGUCAGUCCUGAAUGGCGAUCUCCUAGUUCAAGGGAAGAUUUCCUGGGAACUUAAAAUGAAACGAAUACUGAUGCCCAAGUGCAUCCCCCAUGCCAUCUAAUUUCAUUUGCCUGGGUAUCCUACUUUUUAUUUAUUUUUUUAUUUUAUUUUAUUUUAUUUUUUUAGAUUUUUUUUUAUUUAUUUAUUCAUGAAAGACUGAGAGACAGAGAGAGAGAGAGCACCAGAGACAAAGGCAGAGGGAGAAGCAGGCUCCAUGCACCGGUAGCCUGAUGUGGGAUUCGAUCCUGGGUCUCCAGGAUCGCGCCCUGGGCCAAAGGCAGGCGCUAAACCGCUGCGCCACCCAGGGAUCCCUACUUUUUAAAAGCUUCCCAGGGGGCACCUGGGUGGCUCAGUUGGUUAAACGUCUGCUUUGGGUCAGGUUAUGAUCCUGGGGUCCUGGGUUCAAGCCCCAUAUCGGGCUCCAUCCUCAGCCAGAGGUCGGCUUCUCCUCCCUCUGCCUGCUGCUCCCCCUGCUGGUGCUCUCUCUCUGUAUCAAAUAAACAAAUCUUUUUACAAAUAAAUAAAAAUAAAAGCUUCCCAGGUAUACAGUCUCUUGAUUGUGAUGAAUGUAUACAGAUGUCAAAACUUAAUCAGAUUGUAUGCUUUAGGGGGGUGGCUCAGCGGUUGAGCAUCUAACUUUGGCUCAGAGUGUGAUCCCCGAGUCCUGGGAUCGAGUCCCACAUUGGGCUCCCUGCGAGGAGCCUGCUUCUCCCUCUGCCUGUGUCUCUGCCCCCUCUCUGUGUCUCUCAUGAAUAAAUAAAUAUUUUUUUAAAAAGAGAUCAUAAAAAAAGAUUGUACACUCUAAUAUGUAUAGCCUAUUAUAUGUCAAUUAUAUUUCAAUAAAGCUGUGCAAAAAAUUAAAAGCCUUCCAGGUGAUUCUAGUGGGCAUCUCAAAAUGAAAACCAUUGAACUGGGACAACCUCCUAAGUUAAGCAGAUAAAGAAAUGGCUAUAGGCGGAAGAAAUCUGCUUAGGCCUCAUGUCGUGGGGAACAGCACUGCCGGGACUUAGAACCUAGGACUCCUGUCAUAGGUGUCAUCGCACCUAUGUCAUUGCACUGGUGUCUAUUGCACCAGUGUUCUUGCCUGAAAACCAAAAUGAUAGGAAUUUUACAAAUUUAAAAUGAGGCACUAAAGAAUUUGAAGUGCUAGGAUUGUUCCUGGAGGCGCAGGGCACACAGAGCUCAACCCACCACAGCCUUUACCUGGUAAGAGUCUCCACCCGGAGGGGCAGCGGCCGUCUUCUCCGUGUACUCCGGGGGUCCCACGCCUCGCUUUGCCCACGGGGUGGUGGGGCCCUGCGGGGCCAGUAGAACCUGCAAGGAAAGCAACGUGUCAGCAGCUCCCACGGGCCAUACAGUGGCUGGUUGGCCGCCUCUUUCCUUAAGUCCAGACUUGGCAGUUCCAACAGCUUGUUGAGUAUUUCUACCUCAGAGUCAGUGUGUUCAAAACUGAACUCAUCACCUCCUGCUCCAAUCCAUUCCUCCUUUUCAAUUUCCUAGUAGAGUACCACGAGUCUCCCAAAUAUCCACACCUAAAAGAGUCUCAUCCUCUACACCCAAGCGGGUGUCUAUCUUCCUGAAGGUCUCUGAAACAUACCCUUCAUUUACAUCUUUAUCUUUGGUCUUAGGUCCUCCUCAUUUCCUGCCUAGGCCUCCUGACUUAUCUCCCACUUUCCUAUCACUGCCGUUUGCAGCUGGAGUAAUCAUCCAAGAACACAGGUCAUGCCGUGCGCCCCCUUAAAAACCUUUAAACAGCUUCCCCAUGAUAAACAGGAUGAAACCCGAGCUCCUUAGGAUGGCAGUUAUGAUCCGGCCCCAAGGGCCCUGUUCCAUAUCCUCCCCCACCACUCCUCUAGUAUGCAAUGUUUUCAUACCUUCUGGAUCCACGGACGCCUCUGUAUCACGUACAUGCUAUUCCACGGGCCUGCAACACUGGAUCUAGCCCCACUAAAUUGCAUUCGUCUUCUAAGGCUCAGUCUAAGUAUCACACCAGGUUAAGUCAAAUAUUCCUUCUCCCCCAUGCCACACUGUCCUCAUACUAACUCCAUGAAAACAAUUAUUCCACUCCUUCAUGGUAGUCUAUCUCUAGACGCUUUCCCACUAG
rnacentral:lncRNA from 1 species